rnacentral:rRNA from 1 species
CCUACGGGGGGCUGCAGUGGGGAAUAUUGGACAAUGGGCGAAAGCCUGAUCCAGCCAUGCCGCGUGUGUGAAGAAGGCCUUCGGGUUGUAAAGCACUUUCAGUGGGGAAGAAAGCCUUGGGGCUAAUACCCUCGAGGAAGGACAUCACCCACAGAAGAAGCACCGGCUAACUCCGUGCCAGCAGCCGCGGUAAUACGGAGGGUGCGAGCGUUAAUCGGAAUUACUGGGCGUAGAGCGCGCGUAGGCGGUCUGAUAAGCCGGUUGUGAAAGCCCCGGGCUCAACCUGGGAACGGCAUCCGGAACUGUCAGGCUAGAGUGCAGGAGAGGAAGGUAGAAUUCCCGGUGUAGCGGUGAAAUGCGUAGAGAUCGGGAGGAAUACCAGUGGCGAAGGCGGCCCUCUGGACUGACACUGACGCUGAGGUGCGAAAGCGUGGGUAGCAAACAGGAUUAGAUACCCUGGUAGUC